UGAAUACAUCACUGAGCUAGAUAAUUUGU
rnacentral:piRNA from 1 species